rnacentral:lncRNA from 1 species
UACAUCCACCAAUGUGAAGGGCAAUUCACCAGCUGUCCACCUUAACAGGUGCAAGAACAAAGAGAAAGAAGAGAAAUGAUACAAUAGUGCAUAGAAGUUAAUAUGAAACUGAGGAAAGCUAAGAAAGAUAGGUGGGUAAAAAAAAAAAAGAAAUAUAAGCUAUUUUCCUGACACUACUUUUCUAUCACAGGAAAACCAUAGCAACUAGGGCUUUGUAAAUUGUUCUGUUGAUGUCACUGUGAAAGACACAAAGAGUAAUAAUUUGGUACUCCAACUCCAAGCUACCCAAGGUGUCAGAAAAUUAUUUUCUAUGGAAAACUCUCCAUAAACAAUAUAAUCCAGACUGGUUUGAUUCCAAAAUGCGUGCCUUUCUCUGAUUGUAGUACUGUUAAACUUUAAUUUGUUUAGGUGCACUUGCUAAUAUAGAUUUUGGGAAAUCACAAUAGACAAGCUGUGGUAGAUGAAGCGCAUUCAUUGCUCUGUUGGCAUCUUACCAUUCACACAUCAGUAAAUAAGCUAUAUGAGCUUUAGGAAAUCUUUCAAGAUUUGGUUAUCAAGAAUGGUGCAAUAGAUACUUUAUUAAUUCUGCUUGAAGUUCCUGAUAUGUCAUCUUUGUUGUGUGGUUAUUUAUAUAAUUUUACUUUCCAACUUCUGUUGUCAUAAAAAAUCCAACUCUACUAUUAGAUGCUGCUAAGCAAAUUCUCUCUACUUUAGUUUAUCUUCUGCAUCAUAUUGAUCUUGAGGUAUUUAUGGAUAUUUGGAGACUAUUUCCUACCUCACUGAUGGUGCAAAUGAACCAACUUAAAUUGUUUUAAAAACAAGAGUUUUGCCAUAGCUCAUAAAGGUUUUAGGAGCUACUGAAUUACCAACUAUGCAACUAGUCUAAAGAGACAUAGGAAAUACUGUCACUAGAACAGACCAACAGAAUCAGGUUGUAGAUGCACUUUCAGUUUUCCCUAGCCUGCUUACUAAAGCAAAAACUAAUAUUUUGAAGAAAGCUGCAAGAACAAUAUCAAAAAUCACAGCUAUCUGUCAGGACCACAUACAAGUUCCAUUCUUUUUGCUUUCCUCUAGUCAUUAUUUGUUGGCUAUUUUGAUCUUGUCUUAAAGGCAGAUUUGAAGAUACACAAACAAGCUGUACGGUUAGUCACUAUUUAUACAAGUGAAGAAAUAGGUGAACAGAUUGUAUACCGUCCAUAUCCAUUGUUGCAUGAUGGAACCACUAAAAAACCUUUGAAGUUUAAAACAUAUUGUGAUUGUCCUAGUUAUGCUUUACAGCUGUUGAGAAACUAGCUGAAACUAGAAAAAAAAUCUUAGUACAGUGAAGAGCAUGGAGAUCUGGACAAAAUUGAAGGUCUUCAA